rnacentral:tRNA from 1 species
CAAAAAAUAGUCUAAUGAGGAUACUUGCUUUGGGAGUAGGUGAUGGGGGUUGUAGUCCCUCUUUUUUGA